rnacentral:rRNA from 1 species
CAACUUGAGAGUUUGAUCCUGGCUCAGAGCGAACGCUGGCGGCAGGCUUAACACAUGCAAGUCGAGCGGGCGUAGCAAUACGUCAGCGGCAGACGGGUGAGUAACGCGUGGGAACAUACCUUUUGGUUCGGAACAACACAGGGAAACUUGUGCUAAUACCGAAUAAGCCCUUACGGGGAAAGAUUUAUCGCCGAAAGAUCGGCCCGCGUCUGAUUAGCUAGUUGGUGAGGUAACGGCUCACCAAGGCGACGAUCAGUAGCUGGUCUGAGAGGAUGAUCAGCCACAUUGGGACUGAGACACGGCCCAAACUC